rnacentral:misc_RNA from 1 species
GAUGAAGAACGUAGCGAAAUGCGAUACGUAAUGUGAAUUGCAAAUUCAGUGGAUCAUCGAGUCUUUGAACGCACAUUGCGCCCCCUGGUAUUCCGGGGGGCAUGCCUGUCCGAGCGUCAUUGCUGCCCUCAAGCACGGCUUGUGUGUUGGGCCCCGUCCUCCGAUCCCGGGGGACGGGCCCGAAAGGCAGCGGCGGCACCGCGUCCGGUCCUCGAGCGUAUGGGGCUUUGUCACCCGCUCUGUAGGCCCGGCCGGCGCUUGCCGAUCAACCCAAAUUUUUAUCCAGGUUGACCUCGGAUCAGGUAGGGAUACCCGCUGAACUUAAGCAUAUCAAUAAGCGGAGGA